rnacentral:piRNA from 1 species
UGCUUGUAGUCUACCGGCCUGCCACC